rnacentral:SRP_RNA from 1 species
GCCGGGUGUGGUGGCUCACGCCUAUAAUCCCAGCACUUUGGGAGGCCGAGGCGGGUGGAUCACCUGAGGCCAGGAGUUUCCAGACCAGCCUGGCCAACAUGGUGAAACCCCGUCUCUA